rnacentral:tRNA from 1 species
GAGGGUAUAGCUCAGUGGUAGAGUGAGUGCUUAGCAUGCACGAGAUCCUGGGUUCAAUCCCCAGCAUCUCCA